rnacentral:rRNA from 1 species
GACGAACGCUAGCUGCGGGCCUAACACAUGCAAGUCGAACGGAAUCAAUAGGAGCUUUCUUUUCUUUACUUAGUGGCGAACGGGUGAGUGACGCGUGCGUAACCUGCCCUGGAGUGGGGGACAACAAUUGGAAACGACUGCUAAUACCGCCUAAGCGCACGGAUCCGCAUGGAUCUGCGGGAAAAGGAUUUAUUCGCUUCAGGGUGGACUCGCGUCCAAUUAGCUAGUUGUUGAGGUAACGGCACACCAAGGCGACGAUUGGUAGCCGGACUGAGAGGUUGGACGGGCACAUAGGGACUGCGACACGGAGCAGAGUGCUACAGGAGGCAGCAGGCGGGGAUAUGGAACAAUGGGGGAAAGCGUGAGGCGGCGACGCCGCGUGGAGGAAGAAGGUUUUAGGAUUGUAAAAUCCUGUGGUUAGGGACGAUAAUGAAGGUACCUAAUAAGAAAGCACCGGCUAACUACGUG